AUUUGUUUGUUGCUCGUAUUUCCACACAACGUUUCCUGAGGAAAAACAGAUACCAUACAUAAUUUGUCUCGCGAGCUUCCGCAAAUUCGAGAGACCUGUUCGCGUGUGUGUCAAAAUGAAGGGUGAGGCGUGUCUAAGUUUAAUUUGGCGCGUACACAAACAACACUGAAAUGAUGAAUUGCUUGUCGUAUUAACUCGCCAUGAAGGUAAUGCUUCUGUUUCUUACUGCUUUAGUUUUGAGAAAUUCCCUUGGUCCAUCGAAAGUCGAACUUAUGCAGCGCUAGACCAUUCUACGUUUCCCUCUCCCCCAGGCGAGAUUGAUCAAAGCUUUGGCAAGUGCUUGGCCAACGAGCUCAUUUCUUGAUACGGAUCUGUACCCUGGCCGACGGCUUUCCAAUCAUCGCUCUGCCUAUCACUAUGCAACGCUGCGCCAACGUUGGAUGGCCGAAAGAGUCGUUGGCCAACUGUCAUCCGACCUUUUGCUAACCGUCGGCCAUUGGCCAUUGCUUGCUUGGGCUGAUUGCGAAUGCGGAUAGUAUUGCCAACCCAAUUCGAGAAUAGUAUAUCCGCUGUCAUCCGCACCCUUUUCUUGGCUGUGUUGUCAACAGGAAAGAUCUUGAUCCCCGAGGCUUGUUUAAGUUGCCAGCCGGCUGGUUAAGGGAGUAAAUCAUUGUGCGUGUACGCACACACCCAAGGCUGGUGUCUACUUUUUGCCUCCAGGGAGACAAGUGGGAAAGUUGCACCCCCUCGUAUUCUUGAUUUUAUUUAUCUUUUCUGUCAUCCUGAAGCAGCGUCUUCCUGUCUGGAAGGUUUUUAUUAAUUUUCUUUUUUAAUUUUUGGUACUCCUUCAUGCAGGGUAAUUUUAUUUCAGUUUGUUUUAUUGAAUGCCCAUAAACAGCAUAUGGGCUACAUCUACUGCACUGCAUGACUCACAACAGAUUAAAAAAUUUACAUUAUACUGUUUAACAUUAAUCUAUAAGUCUUGAAAUACGGUGCAAAAAUAUUCCAUAAAUGCACUGCAUGGCUCAUAGCAGACAAAAAAAUUUACAUUAUUCUGCUUAACAUUAAUCUAAAAGUCUUGAAAGUAGAAAAAAUAUCAAUUUCUGCAAUGGCAGCAUUAGUGUAUAUUCUUUAUAGACGAUCAACUGUUUAGGACAAACACUGGAAGAUAUUUUGAAGACAGAAGUGUGUCGAAAGCGUCUCAUGGGAGCAUUAAAACUGAGGGAUUCAACCAGCUUUGGGCAGUUCAAAAUUUCAUUUAUGGUUUUGUAGAAAAAUAUGAGUUUGCACUCCUUACGCCUGAGUUCUAAAGACUCCAAGUUAUAUCACUUAAGUUUCUGCCAUGUUCAUGCCCCCCCUAGGUACCUAUGAACGUUGCAUAUCGAAACCGAAACUACUUGGCACGCCAGCACGCCUGUAUUGCGAAGCAAUACAGUCAAUACAUUUGCCACAGUCAGUAAGCGCGAUAGUAAACAUACAUGCCGUAACCACCAGUGCUGCCGCGAGCUGCCGAUGACAUGUGAAUUAGUUGUAAAUAUGCGUGUUUCUUUCUUUUCUUGCCACAUGAGCGCUCAGAGAACUAUAUGAGGGCCAGGUAGUAAUCAUAAGUUGCAGUCACUUCAAAAUUUCAUGGUUUAGAGAUACAAAGCAGUCUUGCAACACUACUACCAGGGCUGUGAACUGGUGGAAUUACGUUAUACAUAGACUGCAAUGUUUAACUGUUUCAUUAUGACAGACAUCCUCUUUAAUGAAUUUACCUUUACAAUGAAUUUUUUUCACGGUCUCCUGAGUUUCCUUAUAGAGGAGUUCGACUGUACAGAUAAGCCUCCAUUUUACUCUAUGCAUUCUUUCUUCGCACAUUAAAAAUGUGCGAAGAAAGAACAUAUCCAAUGCUGUUCCAAGCCACAGUGCAAUAUUCCUGCCUAGAAACAUCAUGAGGAAGAUAUAAUCUGAUAAAAGAAUGCGGGUCGCUGAAACCCCAAGUAAUUCUCUAAAUGAAACCCAAGGCGGAAAAGGCAGUGCUUAUAACAUAACAUUGUGGGAGAAACCUAAAGGGGCACUAAAAUGCAAAACCAACCUACUCUCAAAUGAAAGUCCACGUUUCAAUUAGUACAAGUCAAGCAAAAUUAGUUCACACUACGCUACCGUAUAGAAGAGAAGAAAAACGAAAUGAAACAGAGUCCUCUUUGGCGGCAACGAAUGGGAUCCCCAGGAGGCAAACAUUGGCGGCAUCCAAUGAGACAGCAGGAGAAGCGCGUGCGUGCAUAUCGUGGGCGUGUGGAUUUGGAAUGGGUCCGAUCGUUGUGUUCUGUAUAUGCGCGGCAUUAUGCGCACUGCUGCAUUUUUCAAUAUUGAUUCACUGAAUUGUAGCCCACAACAGUUCUGGCAAAUGUUCGACUGACAACAUUUAUCUUGAUGUCCUUUGGACAACGACGCCAGUUCGCUUCGCAACACGCACUAUAUUUUUCGCAGGGUCUCCUGCAUGGCGUGUCACACGCAGCAUGUACUAAAAACACAGAUGCACGAGCUGAAACGACGAUGGUCUCUGCCCUUCGCCGAAGCAAGAAAGAGUUCGGUCUAAUUUUGAUUCUAAUUUUGCAAAGGAAUCAAAGUUUUCAAUUAUGAUAAGUAUGAAAUAACAAAGCGUGUAACGCAAUUUGAAGAUAACUUGUUUUUGAAUUUUAGUGUCCCUUUAACUUACUAACCUUGGUAAAUACCAAUGCCAUGGGAUACAACUCUCUUACUGAAUGUGACAUUUUGUAAAGAAUAUUUAAACUCAUAAGUACAACAUUUUCUUGUAAACGACAUUACAAACAUUAUCUGUGCAUUUACAAGAAUUGCAAUUAGAGAAUGUGCAGUUAGAUUCACACCAGUCCUCAAUUACGAUGAUAUUGUUUUGCAGUGUUAAACACUCACUAGGGGUGGGAAUAGGCAGAGAAAGCUUGAUGUCAUCCGCAUAGACUAAAAUGUGUGCAUGUUCAAGAGCGAAACAUAGGUCAUUCAUCUAAGUAUUGAAAACAGAGGUCCAAGGGAAGAAACUUGGGGGACUCAGUGUACACAGGGACAUGGGUUGGAUGGAAAGCCCAUGACUCGUACAACAUUUUUUCACUGUUUUACAUAAUCGGCAAUGAAGGGACAAAGAGAUCCACUCACUCUGUACCGGUUUAAAGCCCAAAGUCCGAUUUUCUCUUCAGGAGGUAAGGAAGACUUGAUUGGCUCCGAAAUGGGAGAGGAUGAUCGGUGAUGAUACAAAAUAAGAAAAUGAGCGUGCUGUGUCGGCCUGCCUUCAGACGUGCUUAUCGUAGUCUGAUCAUCUAUUGCGGAAUGGUAGAGCAGUCUUCUCCUCAUCCGGAAAAGAUAAAAAUGUGCCAGUGACGUGUUCAAACGACUGAAAGCAUUUCAAUAGACAACUUCAGGAAAUCCCAUGAAGCUCAUCGCCCCAGUUCAUAUAUAUACCCCGGACGUAUAUAUAUUGGAAGAGAGAAACCGGCCAAGUGGUUUCCGUUUUCCUACUCCACUCGGCUCUUUAACAACGACCGCACGGAUACAACUGCCGCCGAGGAAGAGAUCGGUCAUCAACAGCUAAAAGCUGUUUCGUGUCCAAACAGUAAGUGUUCAGUACAGAAUUAUACCUUGCUGUGUUGUAAAGUUGCAAAAGUUCCAAAUACAACUUUCCAAGCUAGUUAUCACAAAGUAUUCACUGCCUGCUCACUGGGGGAUAUCACAUUCGUUCUGCCGGUGUGUAAACACGCUUUUUUGCUUCAGUUUAUUCAGAUUUUCGACAUAAAAACUUGUUUCACUCAGAGCACUCGACUGCAUGAGGAGGGAGUCUGUGUUCAUAAAGCUGGAACAGUUUUUCAGUUAGUAAAACCACAAGCGAAUAGAUGAAGCAUGUGGCUUUGAGUAUUUGAAUAACAACAAUGAGGGUGAUGAGUUACGGGUAUUAACACAGACCUUUGUUUAUGCUUGCUCUCAUAACUGUUUGCUUCUAGCUUCCUGUUUACCGCAUGUAGCAGACGUAAUUUGUAUAUGCAUUUGUCCGUUUGUAUCGGGAUCUGGAAACAGCUGCUUCCUGAACUCUACGCAAACAUCAUUUCGCGGAGUUCGUGAUUGUGCUCUCAUUGUCGGCACAAAUUCUGAAGUUCAAUACUUUGUUUACUUAGUAAUUUUGCCUCCCUUUUUAGUUUUUGCCCUGUCGCUGUUACAGGCAGGACCUCAAGGGCGCUAAGGACCCACCAAAAGGCCCGUAGACUAAACAUCUGAAAAUUUUUCCACUAAAGCUCUUUGUCAAAAAUUAUUCUAGAAUUCGAAAACUCUGUGGGUGCAGCAAAGCACUGUGCAUAAGAACAACACAGUAUUGUGUGGUGCUUGGAAUAAAUGUUGCAAAUUUUAUACAAAAACCUGUUAUAGCUCUGUGUUCAAGAGACAAGCAGCUGACUCCACUUGCAUUUUAUAAAUCUUGUUCAUUUUACCCGCAUGUGCCCUGCUGGCUCACUAUGUAACAGUCGCGUUAAAAUAAUAUUUGCUUUUCUAGCAAUGGCAGCAGUAGCUCCUCAUGGUGGGAUACCAGUGUUGUGUUCCAGGCUGCAGGCACAAUUCAGCACGGAACUAGGAUGUGUCCUAUUACAGCUUUCCAGAAGAUGUUGUGCUCCAUGAGCUGUGGGUUCAAGCCAUUGUCCAAGACACAGUAUUGCGAGAAUCCUGGCUGCCUAAAGAAAGUUGAAAAAUACGUGACGCUCACUUCAACACGAGUGGCAAGAGGCAGUACAUGGACAAGGUACCACAGUUUUUGAAGCCUGGCACAUUCAUUCAAACAGCACACAACGCAUGUGCGUAUGCUAGAUGCGGUACUUUGAUGCAACUUGCCCAACCUUUUGGGGGUAUGUUUGCAUGCUCUAUGCAUCCUGAUUCCCAUCCUACAUGCACAUAUGUAUUCUCUGUCACUGCCAGAUCUGUCUCAACUUUCCCCUCUCAUAGUGGCUGUGGAAGUUACAGUUGAAACAUCUUUUGAAGAAGAAUGCAAUGUAGAUUCAUUGUCAGCUUAGCAUGACGCAUGGAUUCAACCGAAGAGGCAGAAGGGAGAAAGCACCCCAACUUCCAUGUGCAAAAUGACAGACGUUUUGAAGAGUAACUCCGAGGAACAUGGAGUAAAGUUUACUCCUCGAGUACAGAGGAUCACCAGCGGCAUGGCCGAGUGGGCUAAGGCGUCCGCUCGUUGGUGGUAACCAAGGUCGUGCUCUAGACUGGGAGGUGGUGGGUUCGAAUCCUACCGCCGGCUGUGCUGUCUGAGGUUUUACCUGGGUUUUCCGAAGACUUUCCAGACGAAUGUCGGCACAGUUCCCCCUGAAGUCGGCCCAGGACGCAUACUAACCCCCCUGUCCCCCACUCCUUCCUGCUAUCCUCUCUCCGUCUGUCCACAUCUCUACGUCGCUCAUAGCCACAGUUGCUUCGCGGCGCUAACACGCAAUCAAAAAAAAAAAAUCUCUUAUAGGAUCAAACCAAUGCAGGACACUCGUGCAGCUCUCACGAGAGAAUGAAAAUCUUAAAAGUCUUAACGCGAGGCUACUUCAAGAGAAAGGUGACCUCCUGAAAACCAUUGCACAGCUCCUUGAAACAAAUUCAUCACAGAGUAGACAAUUUCAAGACCUGCGAAUAAAACUUUCUGUUACAGAUGAGAAACUUUCGAAAGAGCACCAGGCCCUGCAGCUAGAUGUUCAUGACAUUAAAAGAACACAGGCACACCAAGAAACAGUUAAGCAGCAGACAUUGAAACCAACACCGCUUCAUGUCCUUACACUGUAAGAAAAAUUUGUGUAAUUUUACUGCACAAGUGACUGUCAACUUUGUUGCUGACGUAUGUGCCAUGAGCUUUAUACUGCCUAAAAUCCGUUUGGAGUACACUGCACAGUUCCGGAGUGGGCUUUUGAAGUUUUUCGUAAUAUUCCUUUAAUGUAAGUGUCAUCCUUUCGCUUAUGUAAGCUGUGCAGUGUGCACUCCAAAUGGAUUUUUGGCAAUAACUAGGUUACGGCACAUAUGCCAGCAACAGAGUUAGCAGUCACUUGUGUGUAAAAUAACAGAAUUUUUUACAGUGUACAUCGGCUGAAAAGCUAUAGUGCUACGUAGGCUUCAGUAUAGUUGAUCGCUUCAAGAAGUUCUGAAAAUUUGUCUAGUGAAGCAAGGGCACAUAGAGGAAGGCCACCAAUCUUUAAUGUGGAAGAACAGUUGAUUCCUGUUCUAAUCAGACUAAGAGUUGGUCUGCUCGAGCGGGAUAUAGCAUACCGAUACCGUGUGAGUCUAGUAUACAUCAGUGAGCUCUUCUCGUUUUGGAUAUAAGUGAACCCUCAUUAAUAUGACCACUAUCUUGGUCAUAACGUGAAUUGUCAUACUAACGAGAAACGCACCCUCCGCUGACCAUAGAGACCAUUUUGUCCCGGCCAUUCUUACAUGCACGACAGCAGCAGCACAGUGUAACCUGAUCCCAUGGUCACUGCCUUUUUAAGCACUACAGUGCUUUGACGGCCCGAAUGAUGCUGCGGGGAAUCCCAGGUUCAACAACAUCAGGAGUCAUCCCAAACAUGGGCGCCCUACUUUAACACGUGUCACCCUCUGCCUGAGGUAUGUGGUAGCCUCUCCUUCGGGCUACUCAUGUGACACAGUCACAGUAACGAGAAGAUUGUAUGUGUGUCUAACCCUACUUGUGGUAAAAAUCUCGGUCAUAGGCGGAUAAGCGGAUUGUCAUACUAACGAAGUGGAUAUGCAUGGCGGCACAAUGGUUCCGAAAGAACAUAUUAACGAGGGUUCACUGUAAUUUUUUAACUGAGUACCCCAACGAAAUGCCAACAUGACCAUCUAGAGGAAUUGUUACUCAUUACCCAAAUGUAAUGCCGUAUUCUCCACCUCUGACUUCGAAUCAGGGAGACCACUCUCUGUACAAGAGAAGAAAGAAUCCUGCAGAACAGUUCCCCACAUUUCGUACAACCUUCUGACAUAUAUCACAGGUGUGGUUCGCGUGUGUAUCGCUAUGUGAUUCAGAUUAUGAAAGUUGGUCUUAUAUCCAUGUUAAAGUUGCUGGAUUGGUCGAACGUACAUGUAUGUUAGAUUUUUCUGUAUUGCUUUGUUCAUAUUUGGUUGUACCUUGUUAUAUAGUACGAUGAAAUAAGGGUGAGCAGGCAAGCAAGCUGGUGAAGGUUCGACGGAGCCAAUCAUCAUCACUUUCAUAAAGUUUUUGUGUGUAUUGCACGUGUUGAAUGAACCCUAACUAUGACAUGGAUAACACUGUUUUUAUCACUAACUCUGCAGUAUGUUCAAUCCACGGAUCAUGUAUGCGUUUCAGAGAUGUGUCUCUAACAAAAUGAAUGGAAUGGUUUGCAGACGUAAGGAGCGCAAAAACGACAAAUGUUCCGCACAUUUGUCACUCGUGCAGAGAUUUGUUCUUGUUCACAGCGGAGUUGUAGAACUUCAGUAGUGCAGGAAGCAUGGUGACCUCGCUUCCACAAUUCUUCAUCAGUGUUUAUCCUUUGUACAAAUGGGCUCCCUCUGCCACUGUCCACGACAAACUAUCUUGAACUUACAAUGCUGGAACAAGCACCACGUACCAGACAGACAGAUAAGGAAACAAUCAUCACCGUGUUUCCUCAUUUGUCUGUCCGGUACAGUACAAUUUCUUUCCCCGAGCCUCUCUCUUUGCCGAGAGCUUGGUCCGUUGUGGUGUUGGAUGAUCAGGGCUGGUUCGAAGAGGUAACGUCCGACAGGCAAAGCACUCAACAACAACAGGAUUUAUUCACACUAUUUACAACAAGAACAAAAUUGCCUUACGGCAUGUCGUGAACACAAACCCGGUGGGGGAGAAGAGUGAAGACCAGGUCCCAGACCUUCUGGUAGUUGAAGUCCCCGCCCGAGCUACCCAAAAUCAGUGUGCGCCGACCUAAAUAUCCCAAAAUUGGACACUGCCCAUAACUUUCACGUCCCAAUGGGAACGUUUACAGGAAAACGGAACUAACCAUUUAAUUGGCAAAAUGAACUAGGUUAGUCACGUGACAAUACGUCGAAAACUCCACCCCCACUCAAGGUAGAUCUAAUAAUCCCGUCCGUCAUCUUGAACACGACGUAGUUUCCACAGCGCUUGGGGAUCAAGGGAUUAUCUAAGCUGACCACAAAGUAGAACGUGAAGGAAAACAAUGUACAAGUUUCCGGCGAUGCAGAAUCAAAAAUAACAAAGACGGUUAAGAGCAUCAACUGUUUAGUAUAUACACAUUAAAAACAAGACUUUCGUGCAGUAGGCUGCAUUCUUCAGGUUUGAGGGCCUGUUACAAGUGGUGAAGCAUAUAUAAAAAAUACAAGUAUUUUGAGCUCUAAGCUCUAAGAUAAGUACUCUACUUCAGAUGGAUAAUCAUAAUGAUUCAGGGUUUACGUACGUCGCGAGGCAUACAAGAUGUUGCUUUGGGAUGGGAUUCAAAAGGGAUGACCAAAUGAAUUGUCGUGGAUUGACCAGCCACAAUAGUGUGACCUACUUCUCUCUCUUCUUUUUUUCAUCUCUGGUAUUUGUCUACCUCAUAAGGCAAAGCGAGACCACAUUCUCACCUACGUUCGGCACCGAAGUCAAGGAGGUGCAGAAAUGGCUAAUUCCUAGAAGCACAUCAGUAUUUUGGUCAGGUAUUUCUGUCCACAAAUGAACAUUCAGUGUUCUCGCAUUGCCAUUGUGUUGGCUAUUUAUCGUAAACGGCAUUUAUUCAUAACGCAGGACGUUUUUCACCCACAGCUGGUUGUUUAUGCAUGUGGCGGGUGCCCUUAUUUUGGACGCUGACGAGUGAGUCAUGUCCGCAACUCUUUCUACGAACUUGUAGUAAAGAACAUAUCCACAUUCCUGGUGAUGCAUCAGUAACUACGAUAAACAAACAAAGAAUAAACAACAGAGGCUUUCAUGUUUGCCGGUACAACUUCCUUGUAAGUUUUGUUGGUCAACACUUUCUCCUCACGUUUUUAGUUGGGACAGCGCGGCUGUCCUCAAGAGCGUUCCACAACUUGUUGGGUCUAUUGACAUUUUCAUUCCAAUGGAGAAUUGCCAAUGCUUGACGCAUUUUGUAUGUCUCGUCCUUGUAAUGUAUCCUUAAUUGAUACCUAUGCAGGGGAUUUUGGAUAUGUACUGUUGGCUGAGCGCUAAGGUUGUGGGUCACUGCUCAUUCAGCGCACCAUUAUCUCCUUCAAAGGAUGUGGAACUGACUUUCUGCAUGUGUGGGGUAUGAACCCCACAUGUAUGUAUGUAUGUAUGUGUAUCACCCUGGCAAAGAAACUCCCCAGUCAUCAUCAUAAAAUAAAGUUGUUGCUGUUUUUCUACAUGUAGGUCGUACGACCCACAUGUACAA